rnacentral:lncRNA from 1 species
UUCCAGUGAUGGUGCAGAUUUUGUGAUAAUCGCCAGCUGAUCAUUAAGUAUGUGCCUGGAACCUGGAGUUUUUCUGCUCACUGUGGAAGCAAGUGAAAACUACUGCUUUGACUUGGAAUUUUCUGGAGGAAAAGGAAAAGGCUUCCGAUGGAAAAGCAAUUAUUAUCUCCUUAGAAAACUCGACCACACUCGCAUUAGACCCGGCCUCAGGCGGAGAUUUGGAGACCAGGGACUGGGAGUCGGACGACGGGUGCCUCAGGACACUUUACACCAAGUGGUACAGGAGCAGAGCGGAAUAUAAGAAGCGACAUGACCCUACGCAUUCGCCGGAGCAUACUGAGCCGAUAAGAAUCGAGCCAGUUUACAGCAACGAUAGAACGAAAAUCCUCCGCUAUCGGUAUAUCUACCCACCACGUCCAGAAGACAAGCAUGAGGAGCGCAUAAAGAAGGCGCAGGGCUGUCUGCAUGCUGUUAAACCGCUCCUGCACUUCUGUUGCUGUUGCUGCGCAGCGCAUUGGUGCGACUGAUCGUUCGAUUGAUGUUGAAUCAGUCAUUCUUCAAAAGUCUUAAGGCCUGCAUAGACGAUCAAAUUCCCAACCGAUUCCGAUCAAAGUAGACACGCUGAUGACUGGUGGUCACCAUCUACCAUCAAAUUUUGACGGGCCGCACUUUUUUGUUCAAAGUAAGAUCAGACCGGAGUGCCAUCAUUCAUCAUUUCCUGCCACAGGAAACAUUUCUGUCAAGUUUUCAUUUUAAAAUGAAGCAAAUUAAUGAGUUCAAGACUGAUGACUCCCGACACUUUGAUGCUACUUUGAUCGGAAUUGGUUCGGGAAUUUGAUCGUCUAUCCAGGGCUUUAAGGAAACGGUCAUACGCUACGCUGCCGUGCAACGCAAGAAAGCCGUAAACGCCAUUUUACAUUUUCGAAAAGAAUGUAUCAUAGCAAAAAAACUUGUCUACCUUGGGACAAUGUUUUUAGAGAAUUCUUUCGCAAAUAAUAUCAAGAACUUAACCUGACAAUUUGAGGUGCAUGGGUAAAACAGUUUUUAUUUUAGAAAGUGUUAAGUCCCAAGAAACGAGGGAAAAUCUUGAUGGAUUUACGGUGUUCUUGCUUAGCACGAUAGUACGUAACACUCUUCUCGACCCCCCUCGUCCCCUGGGGUGUUAUGUAAUUAAUGAACGCCUCUUACGAGGAAAAGCGCUCGAAAAUUCGGAUACCGAGAAAAAUGUCUAAAACCAGGCAAAUCUUAAAUGACGUCAUCAACGGCUCUAAUCAGCGGGCCGAUUAUUGAAAUUGAUCGAAAAAGCUAUAGACAAAGGAGAUAAAAGAGGUAUGGAGAGAUCCUAUUGGUGGAAGCGGGUGGUUGCAAUGGACAAAGGAGGUAGGUAAUAGACUAACUAACGGCAACUCACGAGAAACCCGACAGUUAGUCUAUCAUUUUUUCCCUUUGUCGAUUGGAACCACCCAUUUCAACCAAUAGGAUCGCUUUAUAAUCCCUAUGUCUUCUUUGUCUAUAGCUUUGUCCAUCAAUUUCAACAAUCAGUCCGCAGUUGCUGCUAUCAGUAGCCUUUAUCUGUCGCUCUUAUCUGUCGGUUCACAGAUUCAAAGAGCUCUUCCCCCUUCCAGGAAGUAAAGAAAGAUUCAUUCCUUUAUACAUAUAUGAUUUGUUUUUGCUUUUAAGCCGGCUAAUUAUAAAUAUAAUAACCAUAAAAAACCCAUUUUAGAUUAAUUUUAAUAGGUGCAUACAACUUUGUAGCUUUAAGCUUAAUGUAUUGCCAAGCAUAGAAUACUUUUAUUUGCAUGGAUUGCUUAUGCUUGCCGUAGAAUUUUUAGUUAUUGUUAAGUGUUCACAUUAGGAAUUUUGAAUCAUGACUUUAAUUUUUAAACACGUUCAUCGACAAUGAAGAAGGCAUGAUUGCAUCUUGCCGACAUGUUUGUCAUUAGAAAUGCGAGUAAUUUGUGAUAAAUAAAAUAUUAAAAAAAAAUUCA